rnacentral:rRNA from 18 species
GUUAGUACUAAUACCAGGUCAGCACCGGUGGUCUUUGUCUUCUGCUGUUAGAUUCAUUCCUACAGCCUGUAUCGAGUGUCGGUACGAGAGCAACUCUUGUGCCAACAGCCUUCAUGGCAAUCCCAGCUCCGAUAGUGUCGUGUAUAUGGAAGUUGUUCCAGUACCAAAGUUGGCAGUUGGGUUUGAUCCAUGAACAGGAAAACUGUACACUGAAUGAGGCCCUGAGUUCAGAAAGGGUGAGAGCUGAAUACGUAUAAAAUGAUCGGGGUGCCAUGGGACAAAUCAGCCAUUUAGCUGACUGUACUACUAUGAUACACUUAGACUGU